rnacentral:rRNA from 1 species
AUUGAACGCUGGCGGAAUGCUUUACACAUGCAAGUCGAACGGCAGCACGGGGGCAACCCUGGUGGCGAGUGGCGAACGGGUGAGUAAUACAUCGGAACGUGCCCGGUCGUGGGGGAUAACGUAGCGAAAGUUACGCUAAUACCGCAUACGAUCUGCGGAUGAAACCGGGGGACCUUCGGGCCUCGCGCGAUCGGAGCGGCCGAUGUCAGACUAGGUAGUUGGUGGGGUAAAGGCCUACCAAGCCGACGAUCUGUAGCUGGUCUGAGAGGACGACCAGCCACCCUGGGGCUUGGACACGGCCCAGACUCCUGCGGGAGGCAGCAGUGGGGAAUUUUGGACAAUGGGCGCAAGCCUUAUCCAGCCAUUCCGCGUGCAGGACGAAGGCCUUCGGGUUGUAAACUGCUUUUGUAUGUAACGAAAAGGCUCUGGCUAAUACCUAGGGCUCAUGACGGUACCGGAAGAAUAAGCACCGGCUAACUACGUG